CGUGAUACUGGAGGGGACAACUGACCAGGUGUCACGUGGUCAGGUGGUCAAGUACAGGUGUAAGGACGACCAUGUACGACAGAGUGGUCAUGAAGACAGGGUGUGUCUGGCUAGUGGCCAGCUAAGUUGGGAUGACCUUGUUUGUGAAGCUGUUGCAGCGUCAGUAACUCCCAGCAACAGCGUGGACCUCGUCGCCCGGUUUAAAUACGGUGAUAGGAACCGGGCGUACCUCGGCGACAAUGACCUCAUAUGGAUCACCAGAGACGGCGAUAUCACCCACUGGCAAUAUUAUGCGACAACAGCAGGAAUGGCAAUGUUCCAGGUGUGGCGUCCGAGAAGCGACGCUGGAGAAAGAAUGUUUGAGUUCAUUGGUCAGAAUCUACUGGACACUGAAAAACUGGACGUAUUGAGGUCUUGGAGUUCCUGUCAACGAUCGUAUUCCUGCUCAAGCCGGAGACGUGAUCGGCAUCUACUACUUUGACCCCCUCAUAGGUAUUACCUUCACGAUUUGCGAUAAAGAAUUGACCCCCAGGGAGCCAAGAUGUCCUGGAUCAACAAGAGAAUCACAGAUAUGAACUACUUCAUCCCUGGCAGCUCUUAUCAGCAGGCAGACCAAGACAAGUGUUACAUUAUGUCCUUCAGAGCCAUUAAUGGUCCUGUGGUCACGUGUAUUGUUUCCUCCGGCGUCGUCUAACGCCGUCUUUGGAAGAACCACGACCAACACCGUCCGGAUACUUACAAAAGUGACGUAUAAAUGCAAAGAUGGCUACAGUCAACUGAGCGGGGACACACAGAGGACGAUGCAUGGGGAGUGGUCAACUGGACGGCCAGGAACUUAUCUGUGCAGACACAUCAACGUCGGUGACGCCUACUAAGUAACAACGUGGACCUGAUAAGCGCGUCCAACCGACGGCGUCAAGUUUUAUAGCCAGCUACAUCGGCGACAACGACCUGAUGAGAAUCGACAGAGAUGGUGAGGUUGUCCAGUGGAAGUUCUUCUCGACUACGACUGGGGAGGAGCACUGCUGCAGGUCUGGAGACCACGACCAGAUGCCGGAAGAGUCGAAAAUUCGAAUUCAUCGGCCAUAAUGGCCUUUUAACCUGGUGGACAGUGAGGUGACCGGUCAGGUGGACACACUGGACGUCCCUGAGUAUGAACGUAUCCAGGUAGAGACGGGAGACCUGAUCGGCAUCUACUACUUUAACCCCCUCCCGGGAUGGGUUUCUCCGAGUGCAGCAGUAGCCAGCACCCAGAGGCGUCACAGAUGUCCUGGAUCAACACCAAGGUGCAUAAACCCUCCUUCUUUGUGAGUGGGGAGAUAUACGACCAGGCGGACA